UACGAAGGGGGCUAGCGUUGUCCGGAAUUAUUGGGCGUAAAGAGCUCGUAGGCGGUCUGUCGCGUCUGCUGUGAAAACUCGGGGCUUAACCCCGGGCCUGCAGUGGGUACGGGCAGACUAGAGUGCGGUAGGGGAGACUGGAAUUCCUGGUGUAGCGGUGAAAUGCGCAGAUAUCAGGAGGAACACCGGUGGCGAAGGCGGGUCUCUGGGCCGAUACUGACGCUGAGGAGCGAAAGCGUGGGGAGCGAACAGG
rnacentral:rRNA from 1 species